UACGGAGGAUGCAAGCGUUAUCCGGAAUGAUUGGGCGUAAAGCGUCCGCAGGUGGCUGUGUAAGUCUGCUGUUAAAUAGUGAGGCUCAACCUCAUAAAGGCAGUGGAAACUACACGGCUAGAGUGCGUUCGGGGCAGAGGGAAUUCCUGGCGUAGCGGUGAAAUGCGUAGAGAUCAGGAAGAACAUCGGUGGCGAAAGCGCUCUACUGGACUGCAACUGACACUCAGGGACGAAAGCUAGGGGAGCGAAUGGG
rnacentral:rRNA from 1 species